CCUCUGACUUCUUCUUCUCCUCCUCUUCUCGAGCCUUGCCCAGCUCCUCGAAGUUCACCUUGAUCUUACCUGGAGCCUUGGAGGGUUUGUUUGGCACCACCUUGACGAGCAGGGAGCUGUCCCCCUCCUGCAUGACGAAGGGAAGAUGGCCGACUUCAUCACAACAUAACCAGAAACAAACAGAAGUGCUCAUCGUCACGUUUCUCUUUGUGGUGCAUUAAUAAAGGUCAGCAGCCAUGUU